rnacentral:rRNA from 1 species
UGGGGAAUAUUGCACAAUGGGCGUAAGCCUGAUGCAGCCAUGCCGCGUGUAUGAAGAAGGCCUUCGGGUUGUAAAGUACUUUCAGCGGGGAGGAAGGGAGUAAAGUUAAUACCUUUGCUCAUUGACGUUACCCGCAGAAGAAGCACCGGCUAACUCCGUGCCAGCAGCCGCGGUAAUACGGAGGGUGCAAGCGUUAAUCGGAAUUACUGGGCGUAAAGCGCACGCAGGCGGUUGAUUGAGUCAGAUGUGAAAUCCCCGGGCUUAACCCGGGAAUUGCAUCUGAUACUGGUCAGCUAGAGUCUUGUAGAGGGGGGUAGAAUUCCAUGUGUAGCGGUGAAAUGCGUAGAGAUGUGGAGGAAUACCGGUGGCGAAGGCGGCCCCCUGGACAAAGACUGACGCUCAGGUGCGAAAGCGUGGGGAGCAAACAGG